ensembl:rRNA 5S_rRNA 5S ribosomal RNA
GUCUAUGGCCAUGCUACCCUGAACAAGCCCAAUCUCUUCUGAUCUUGGAAGCUAAGCAGGGUCGGGCCUGGUUAGUACUUGGAUGAUAGACCACAUAGGAAGACCAGGUUCUAUACGUG